rnacentral:misc_RNA from 1 species
GAUGAAAGAACGUAGUGAAAUGCGAUACGUAAUGUGAAUUGCAGAAUUCAGUGAAUCAUCGAGUCUUUGAACGCACAUUGCGCCCCCUGGUAUUCCGGGGGGCAUGCCUGUCCGAGCGUCAUUGCUGCCCUCAAGCACGGCUUGUGUGUUGGGCCUCCGUCCUCCUCCCGGGGGACGGGCCCGAAAGGCAGCGGCGGCACCGCGUCCGGUCCUCGAGCGUAUGGGGCUUCGUCACCCGCUCUUGUAGGCCCGGCCGGCGCUUGCCGACACAUCAAUCUUUUUUCCAGGUUGACCUCGGAUCAGGUAGGGAUACCCGCUGAACUUAAGCAUAUCAAUAAGCGGAGGA